GAUGAACGCUGGCGGCGUGCCUAAUACAUGCAAGUCGAGCGAACGGACGAGAAGCUUGCUUUUCUGAUGUUAGCGGCGGACGGGCGAGUAACACGUGGAUAACCUACCUAUAAGACUGGGAUAACUUCGGGAAACCGGAGCUACUACCGGAUAAUAUUUUGAACCGCAUGGUUCAAAAGUGAAAGACGGUCUUGCUGUCACUUAUAGCUGGAUCCGCGCUGCAUUAGCUAGUUGGUAAGGUAACGGCUUACCAAGGCAACGAUGCAUAGCCGACCUGAGAGGGUGAUCGGCCACACUGGAACUGAGACACGGUCCAGACUCCUACGGGAGGCAGCAGUAGGGAAUCUUCCGCAAUGGGCGAAAGCCUGACGGAGCAACGCCGCGUGAGUGAUGAAGGUCUUCGGAUCGUAAAACUCUGUUAUUAGGGAAGAACAUAUGUGUAAGUAACUGUGCACAUCCUGACGGUACCUAAUCAGAAAGCCACGGCUAACUACGUG
rnacentral:rRNA from 1 species